UGAAACCCUAAGAAAUCAAUCUUAGCUUUGGGGAAUUGGAGAUCAUCUUAUGUAGUUGUAUGUUUGAAAUCCGAUUCAAGAUCCAACCUCGGUGAUAACAAGGGUAAUUUCAUAGUUUCAACUCUGUUUGCAACAAGGAAUUGAAGCUAACAGUUUGCCACUUUCCCCCAAUUAUCUGGAGACGGUCUCCUGGUAAAGUAGCCAAUAUAUCACCAUGUUUCUGGAAAUUUCCAUUUUUAUUCCUCGUAUAAUGAUCUACCACUCUUUAGUAGAGGUUGAGUUUGGUUAAAGUAUAUCUAUCUAGGGCUAGGGUUCCUUUUAAGUCAAGAUGACAGGCCACAAUUUAGCAGCUAGCUUUUGAUGAUUACUGUUAGGGAUUUAAUGGGACGGGUGAGAUAAAUAUUGCUAAAUAUGGAACCAGGCGAGAUAGAUAUUAUAAAUUCUAUCAUCAUUUUUCAAUUGAUAUGUUGUCUUCUUUCACAGUUAAUGUAUAAUCUUGAAAAUUUAUAUCUAUGAAUAUUAAAUGCAUCUAUUCAUCCUUA